rnacentral:rRNA from 1 species
UGCCAGCAGCCGCGGUAAUACGUAGGGUGCAAGCGUUGUCCGGAAUUAUUGGGCGUAAAGGGCUCGUAGGCGGUUUGUUGCGUCGGCUGUGAAAUCCCGAGGCUCAACCUCGGGUCUGCAGUCGAUACGAGCAAACUAGAGUGUUGCAGGGGAGACUGGAAUUCCUGGUGUAGCGGUGAAAUGCGCAGAUAUCAGGAGGAACACCGGUGGCGAAGGCGGGUCUCUGGGCAACAACUGACGCUGAGGAGCGAAAGCGUGGGGAGCGAACAGGAUUAGAUA